rnacentral:lncRNA from 1 species
GUAAAAAUAUGCUCCAAUUAACCCAUAUCAUGAGAUUUGUAGCAUUACUCUAUUACACAAUGGCAAAAAUUUGUAGUCCUAGUCUAAGCAAACACAAAUCUGGUGAACAGUACUGUUUUUCUUAUCCUGCUUCUUAGUCCGAGACUGCACCAAACGCUUCACUAAGUUAGUCCAGCUUAGUCCAGUCUAAGCCAGUCCAGCUUAGUCCCGGCAGCUAGUCCAGUCCAAGACAGUCCGGCGCAACAAACGCACCCUUAGGGUGUGUUUGUUUGCCAUCGUUAGAUUUCACUGGAUUGGACUAGCUUAAGUGGGAUUAUUGUCCGGUGUUUGGCAUGAGCAAGGAUUGCUAUUAAUGAGACUAAGUCGGACUCGUUUCGACUAACCGCCUCACUAAGGGUCGCUAUCUAAUCCGGAGCUGCAACACGGUAUUAGCUAGGAUUACCAUCCUUCUUCCCUUCGCCCCACUUUCGGUAAACUCUUCCUCCUGAAACAAUGUCCUCUCUCUCUCUCCUUCUCCCUUUUGUCCUUCUUGCCUGGGUUUGGUCUUUGCUUUUCGAGUCACCGAUUGAUUUCUAGGUUGGGUUUUUCGAGUUGUCGUCCAAAGACGGGAAGGGUGCAUAUGUUCAUACAAAUUGAAGAAAUUGAAUUGCAGUAAUGAAAGAAAACAGAAAUUUUAGAAGAAAAUCCAACUUAGUUAGGCGCGAUCUGGAGAGAGAGAGAGAGAGAAGAGAGAGAGAGAGAGAGAGAAAUUGUCUGGAUUGGGUUUGUGCAGUUGGAGUGGAAGUGAGGAAAGUGGUUUGUCUAGGUUUCACAAACAACAAUAUCUUUUCUUUUUUUCAAUUUUUUUUUGUCUUUCACAUUUAUAAAUUCUGAAAAAAGAAAGGAUUUUCCUUUACAAUUUUUAUUUAUAGAGUGCAUUUUAGUUUUUUAGACAAAAAAGUGAAGUUUUCAUAAUUAACCCAUAUCAUGAGAUUUGUAGCAUUACUCUAUUACACAAUGGCAAAAAUUUGUAGUCCUAGUCUAAGCAAACACAAAUCUGGUGAACAGUACUGUUUUUAUUAUCCUGCUUCUUAGUCCGAUACUGCACCAAACACUUCACUAAGUUAGUCCAGCUUAGUCUAGUCUAAGCCUGCCCAACUUAGUCCCUGCCGCUAGUCCAGUCCGAGACAGUCCGGCGCAACAAACGCACCCUUAGUGUGUUGAGAUGGCACAUUAUGGGCCCCUACUGCAAAAUUAUGAUGUCAUGUAGAUUAGAGAGUUUAUUUUUAAUUUCCCUCGUUUUACCAAAAACAAAAGUUUAUUUUUAAUUUAGGAAAAAUGAAAUGGUGACUGGGAAUUGAAGCAGCUGCUGCCCCAGCAACCUUAACCAGUCUUCUUCUUCCUUGGAUCGUCAUUCAUUCUCCUGGGUAAUUGAUUCGACCUCUGACCUCAAGUCAUAUACCUGUGCUUCAGUCUCUUUGCGUCUUCAAAAACCUAAAUUCUCGAAACCACAGUGCAAACCCUAUCAACAAUGGCAAAGGCAUCCUCCGUCGUCGCCCUCAAGGCAGUCCUCUUCGCUGUCCUCUCGGCUGCCCAGGAGGCUCCGGCUACCAGCCCAGUCUCCCCCGUAUCC